rnacentral:rRNA from 1 species
AGAGUUUGAUCCUGGCUCAGAUUGAACGCUGGCGGCAUGCUUUACACAUGCAAGUCGAACGGUAACAGGGGAGCUUGCUCCCGCUGACGAGUGGCGAACGGGUGAGUAAUGCAUCGGAACGUGCCGAAUAGUGGGGGAUAACGCACCGAAAGGUGUGCUAAUACCGCAUACGCCCUGAGGGGGAAAGUGGGGGACCGCAAGGCCUCACGCUAAUCGAGCGGCCGAUGUCGGAUUAGCUAGUUGGUGGGGUAAAGGCUCACCAAGGCGACGAUCCGUAGCGGGUCUGAGAGGAUGAUCCGCCACACUGGGACUGAGACACGGCCCAGACUCCUACGGGAGGCAGCAGUGGGGAAUUUUGGACAAUGGGGGAAACCCUGAUCCAGCCAUGCCGCGUGUCUGAAGAAGGCCUUCGGGUUGUAAAGGACUUUUGUCCGGGAGGAAACCCUGAUCGUUAAUAGCGGUCGGGACUGACAGUACCGGAAGAAUAAGCACCGGCUAACUACGUGCCAGCAGCCGCGGUAAU